CAGUCGCCGCGGGAACACGUAGGGCGCAAGCGUUAUCCGGAAUUAUUGGGCGUAAAGAGCUCGUAGGCGGUUUGUCGCGUCUGCCGUGAAAGUCCGGGGCUCAACCCCGGAUCUGCGGUGGGUACGGGCAGACUAGAGUGAUGUAGGGGAGACUGGAAUUCCUGGUGUAGCGGUGAAAUGCGCAGAUAUCAGGAGGAACACCGAUGGCGAAGGCAGGUCUCUGGGCAUUAACUGACGCUGAGGAGCGAAAGCAUGGGGAGCGAACAGGAUUAGAUACCCCCGUAGUCCCUGUCUCUUAUAA
rnacentral:rRNA from 1 species